rnacentral:rRNA from 1 species
GCGCCAGACUCCUACGGGAGGCAGCAGUGAGGAAUAUUGGUCAAUGGUCGGGAGACUGAACCAGCCAAGCCGCGUGAGGGAUGAAGGUACAGAGUAUCGUAAACCUCUUUUGUCAGGGAACAAAGGCGGGGACGUGUCCCCGGAUGAGUGUACCUGAAGAAAAAGCAUCGGCUAACUCCGUGCCAGCAGCCGCGGUAAUACGGAGGAUGCGAGCGUUAUCCGGAUUUAUUGGGUUUAAAGGGUGCGUAGGCGGAAUAUCAAGUCAGCGGUAAAAAUUCGGGGCUCAACCCCGUCGUGCCGUUGAAACUGAUGUUCUUGAGUGGGCGAGAAGUAUGCGGAAUGCGUGGUGUAGCGGUGAAAUGCAUAGAUAUCACGCAGAACUCCGAUUGCGAAGGCAGCAUACGGCAGCGCUACUGACGCUGAAGCUCGAAGGCGCGGGUAUCGAACAGGAUUAGAUACCCGAGUA